rnacentral:rRNA from 1 species
GACGAACGCUGGCGGCGUGCCUAAUACAUGCAAGUCGAACGCACUCUCGUUUAGAUUGAAGGAGCUUGCUCCUGAUUGAUAAACAUUUGAGUGAGUGGCGGACGGGUGAGUAACACGUGGGUAACCUGCCCUAAAGUGGGGGAUAACAUUUGGAAACAGAUGCUAAUACCGCAUAAAACCUAACACCGCAUGGUGUAGGGUUGAAAGAUGGUUUCGGCUAUCACUUUAGGAUGGACCCGCGGUGCAUUAGUUAGUUGGUGAGGUAAAGGCUCACCAAGACCGUGAUGCAUAGCCGACCUGAGAGGGUAAUCGGCCACACUGGGACUGAGACACGGCCCAGACUCCUACGGGAGGCAGCAGUAGGGAAUCUUCCACAAUGGACGAAAGUCUGAUGGAGCAACGCCGCGUGAGUGAAGAAGGUUUCGGAUCGUAAAACUCUAGUUGUUGGAGAAGAAUGUAUCUGAUAGUAACCGAUCAGGUAGUGACGGUAUCCAACCAGAAAGCC